AUUACAUGAAGGUUGAUAGUUGAAGGUGGCGGUUAAAGCUUGAAGUUUUUAGAUUUUGGUUUUUUUUUUCAUUGAAUAAUGUUUAAAAUAAUUAUUUAUUACAUGAAGGUUGAUAGUUGAAGGUGGCGGUUGAGCUUGAAGCUUUUAGAUUUUGAUUUUGUUUUCAUUGAAUAAUGUUUCUCAUUUCAUGAGAACUUGGUUUUCGUUUUAUGUUUUUAUUUAUUGGUUUUUAUUUUAUCAAUAACUAUGUUUACCUUUCGUUUGAUUUUGAAUGAUCACGUCUGAUGUUCUUUUCUUAUUUUUGAAUCGAUUUUACUUAUGUUUUGGUUACAAAAUAUGUACAAAUUAGGUAUUUUAAAGCCGAAAAACAAAUUUUACUUAUAUUUUGGUUAAAAAAGUAGAUACAAAUCAAAUAUUUUUAAACCGAAGAACCGAUUGGGACUCAAACCCGAAAGUACAUCGGAUUGUACCGGUUUUUUGAAGAUUUACUAACCCCGACCU
rnacentral:lncRNA from 1 species